UACGAAGGGGGCUGGCGUUGCUCGGAAUCACUGGGCGUAAAGGGUGCGUAGGCGGGGCUUUAAGUCAGGGGGGAAAUCCUGGAGCUCAACUCCAGAACUGCCUUUGAUACUGAGGAUCUUGAGUUCGGGAGAGGUGAGUGGAACUGCGAGUGUAGAGGUGAAAUUCGUAGAUAUUCGCAAGAACACCAGUGGCGAAGGCGGCUCACUGGCCCGAUACUGACGCUGAGGCACGAAAGCGUGGGGAGCAAACAGG
rnacentral:rRNA from 1 species